rnacentral:misc_RNA from 1 species
GUGAAUCAUCGAAUCUUUGAACGCAAAUUGCACUCUCUGGUAUUCCGGAGAGUAUGCCUGUUUGAGGGUCAGUUUAAAUAAAAAUCGGAGUGUUUGCUGCCUUAUGUGGUGACGCGCCGGAUUGGGGUCGGCUUGCCUUCGGCUAAGUGACCAAAAAUCUUGCAUGAUUUGUUAGGACGUAUUGAAAUGAUUUUACGUACGCUUGCGAAUGCGUGAGCCAAC